rnacentral:rRNA from 1 species
CCCUUAGAUGUUCUGGGCCGCACGCGUGCUACACUGAUGCAUUCAACGAGUCUAAAACCUGGUCUGAUAGGGCUGGGUAAUCUUUUGAAAGUGCAUCGUGAUUGGGAUAGAUGAUUGCAAUUCUUCAUCUUCAACGAGGAAUGCCUAGUAAACGCAAGUCAUCAGCUUGCAUUGAUUACGUCCCUGCCCUUUGUACACACCGCCCGUCGCACCAAUUGAUUGGAUGACUCGAUGAAAAAUCAGGACUGAGAUUUCUUUUGCUUCAUUGCAGAGGAAGUUUUGGGAAUCUUUUUAAAUCUCGUUAUCUAGAGAUUGGUGAAGUCGUAACA